AGCGGGGUAGCUCAGUUGGUAGAGCAAGCGGCUCAUAAUCGCUGUGUCGCCGGUUCAAGUCCGGCCCUCGCUA
rnacentral:tRNA from 1 species